rnacentral:lncRNA from 1 species
AAGAUCAGUUUCAAUGGGAGGAAAAUUGUGUUUGCAUAGCCUGAUUGGGAGCAGCAGUGGGCGCCACCCCGCUGGAUCAGAAGUGUAGAGGACACCCUGCCAGAUCCGGAGGGGUGGAAGUCAGUGGCAGGUCUGCCACGGCGGCAAACAGCACUGGUGGACAGCAAGCGAAAGCUCAGCUCGAGCCGUAACAAACACGGACCAGAAGAGCAUGCAGUUCCAAGAUUUAAUAGAAUGAAAAUAGAGUUCCCAUACAAUGGGAGGGGACCCAAAACGGGUUGCCACUCCCGGCUCGAAUGCCUGGGGUUUAUA